CAAAGUUGACUUACCUUUUCCGUCACACAUCCAUUUAGAACUCCAAAGUUAAUCGUGCUUGGGCGAGAGUUGUACUAGGAUGGGUGACCUAUCGGGAAGUGAUUCGCGAUAGCGUGCG
rfam:Brassica oleracea var. oleracea cultivar TO1000 chromosome C3, whole genome shotgun sequence